rnacentral:rRNA from 1 species
UACGUAGGGGCCAAGCGUUGUCCGGAUUUAUUGGGCGUAAAGAGCUCGUAGGCGGUUCGGCAAGUCAGCUGUGAAAUCUCCACGCUCAACGUGGAGGGGUCAGCUGAUACUGCUGUGACUCGAGUCCGGUAGGGGAGUGUGGAAUUCCCGGUGUAGCGGUGAAAUGCGCAGAUAUCGGGAGGAACACCAGUAGCGAAGGCGGCACUCUGGGCCGGUACUGACGCUGAGGAGCGAAGGCUAGGGGAGCGAACGGG